rnacentral:rRNA from 1 species
AACGAACGCUGGCGGCAUGCCUAACACAUGCAAGUCGAACGAGACCUUCGGGUCUAGUGGCGCACGGGUGCGUAACGCGUGGGAACCUGCCCUUAGGUUCGGACUAACUACCCGACAGGGGUGAUAAUACCGGAUAAUGUCUUCGGACCAAAGAUUUAUCGAAUUUGGAUGGGCCCGCGUUGGAUUAGCUAGUUGGUAGGGUAAAAGCCUACCAAGGCGACGAUCCAUAGCUGGUCUGUGAGGAUGGUCAGCCACACUUGGACUGGGACACGGCCCAGACUCCUACGGGAGGCAGCAGUGGGGAAUAUUGCACAAUGGGCGAAAGCCUGAUGGUGCAAGGCCGCGUGAGUGAUGUAGUCCUGAGGGUUGUAAAGCUCUUUUACCCGUGAUGAUAAUGACAGUACCGGGAGAAUAAGCCCCGGCUAACUCCGUG